UGGCUUUUUUUUUUGCUCUUCACUCAGUGCAAAUGGUGUACUUUUUUUAGGGGGGGGGAACACGAUUGUUAUUCCACCGACCACCGUAGCGUCAUACCACCGUCUCGGUGGUAUGACACGAGACAUCUCAUCCAUAAACAUGUCGGCGUUGGCGUAGGUGGGCGCUUGGGUGGGAGUUGCGUUUGGCCUGGCGGCCUGGCGGCCCGCCGCACAGACGCCAAGCAGCUGCGCCGUACCUGUCUUUUUUUUAUGAUUCACCUCACUGUUUGUUUCGAAGCAACACAGAUGUGAAAGAGCGCAAACUUUUUUUUUUUGAAGAAGAAGAAAGGUUGAAAUGAUGGCCAAACAAAACAGGCUUUCAUUAAACAGCAGCUCUUGUCAAUGCAUUCUCUUUGGAAUGACCUUUGAUUUGACCUUUGAAACAAUCAUUAAAAAAAAAAAGUUUUUUAAAUGUGCAGAUUUUCGUUUAUCGCGAGUGGUUUCGGUCCCCAUUAACCCUGAUAAACGAGGGAUUGCUGUAAAUUUAUGUCACGAUGAAAAGCAAACCGAAAGUUGUUGCCUGACACACUUCCUCUUUGGCGUCGCCACUUGGAAGUGACGGAACAGUUUUACACCUUCUUGACUCACAUGAGUUUGCCUUUUUGCAGGAGGCUUCAAACCAAUGCAUUUGACAUGAACACGUCCGGUCGGGAUUGUUAGGAGGGCUUGGUUGGGACCUCCAGACACAUUUUUUUUUUCCUUUUGCAAAAAAUAAAGAAUAAAAAAUCCCAAAGAACUCAUAAAAACUAUAUAUGUAUGGAUAGCACAAAUGCCUCUGAACAUUUUGAAUGUUUGAAAAAAAAAAAGAAUGUUUGUAUAACACAAAAUACAUCAUUACAAAAAUUGUAAAAUGCGUAACUUAAGGCUUUUUUUAAUUUGAAGCACACAAGGGUUAAACAUCUGAGGAGGAUAAAGAAUAUAUGCCUGUGAGUAUUGCCAUACUAUCGAAUGCAUUGCCCCGAUAACUCAAAUAUUGAUCAAAUCGGUUGUUGAAAGGCAUAUGCGUGUGUCGCCUCUUCACGCAGUGACUAAAGCAAAGCAACAAAAUGUCUCUCGUGCAAGUUAAACGACUCCAUAAAAUCUGCUGAUUAAAUUAGCACAAUUAGGUCUUAAUGGGGCCCACGCAAGACUCGCAUCCAUGACUGGAGGCACCUGCAAAUGGAGUGUGAGCCAUUUGUUGGUGACCAGUCUCUUGUAGUUACCUCACACACACACGCGCACACACUCACACACACGCACACACACACACAGUGUGGUUGUUAUUGGUGAAUGACGUUUGUUUACACGUGCAAUUAUGUUAACUCAUUGAGUCAAUCUGAUGAGGGCUGGCAUGUGGUCUCUUGUGUGUCUGUCUCAAAUUGUGCGGUGGAUGUGUGUGUGUGUGUGUGUGUGUGUGUGUGUGUGUGUGUGUGUGUGGGUGCGUGCCUCGCCUCUGGAAGUGUCAGAUUAGUUGAUUAGAGAGCAGGCUGCCGACAGACCACGGCCCCACAAGAGCUGUUUUUGCAGGGCAGCGCGGUCGCUUUAGAGCGCCUCAUUGUCAGCUGUGUGGGCCAUUUUGGAGGACUUUGGACCAACAUGGCCAUUUAGAGCACCUCGUUGUGCACCGCACACGUGUCCAAUGGAAAUAUUUUUACAGCUCAGAGUGGUGCAGGCUGAAGAAAGAUGCGAGAUCAAGGAGCAGCUGGUUUUUUUUUCCAGGUUGGAGUCGGGCUGCUUGAUUGAGAGAACACAUCCGAGCAAAGGUGCUUGUCCUGUGAGCUACAUUUAAAUGAAGACAUCGAAAGUCUGCUUUUUGGGGGGAGUAGGAGGGGGGGUUGUGGUUAUUGCUGCAGCCACUACAGUCCAAAAAUCCAAAUAAUCACUCAAUAGAGGGAUUGCUGACCGUGACGUAAUGGAGUGCGCUUGCUUUUGUUCACCGUAGAAAAUCCAAAGCUUUCCUGUCCCAUCUUUGACACACACACACACACACACACACAUGCCAGAACGGGGGCAGUCAGCGCGUCGGGCCCGUUCCAAUUGGCUGGGCAGUAGUUGAAGGUUAUACCAGCUAACGAAGCCAUCACGCCAACCAUGGAGAGAAACGCACGUGCACACACACACACACAUAUAUAUAUAUACACACACACACACACACACACGCACACACACACACACAAAAACCACACACAUGCAGCAGGCGUAUGCAACCAGACAAUAGUCGCUGACCUUCAGUGCAGCUGUUGCUCCAAAAAAAUGCAACAAAUAAAAACCUUGCAUCCCGUG